rnacentral:lncRNA from 1 species
AUCUGACAUUCGAUCAUAGAUCUAAAUCAGAACUUAAAGCAAGAAUCAGCAUACAAAAGAUUGUGAUAAACCAUUUAUCACCUUGUGCAGGGAGAAGAACACCGCAAUCUGAAACUGUAGAUCUGAGGAGGUUCACUGUUGAGCCAUGCAUGUACUCAGCCUCUACAGAUAUCCACUAGGAUCAAUCUUGAAUCAUUCUUCUUAUGGU